UACAGAGGGUGCGAGCGUUAAUCGGAAUUACUGGGCGUAAAGCGUGCGUAGGUGGUUUCUUAAGCUGGAUGUGAAAGCCCCGGGCUUAACCUGGGAACUGCGUUUGUGACUGCCAGGCUAGAGUACGGCAGAGGGGGGUGGAAUUCCACGUGUAGCAGUGAAAUGCGUAGAGAUGUGGAGGAACACCAAUGGCGAAGGCAGCCCCCUGGGUCGAUACUGACGCUCAUGCACGAAAGCGUGGGUAGCAAACAGGAUUAGAUA
rnacentral:rRNA from 1 species